CUGCUGCCUCCCGUAGGAGUUUGGACCGUGUCUCAGUUCCAAUGUGGGGGACCUUCCUCUCAGAACCCCUACGCAUCGUCGGCUUGGUGGGCCGUUGCCCCACCAACUACCUAAUGCGCCGCAUGCCCAUCCGUGACCGGGGUCGCCCCCUUUGACCGGCAGGGGAUGUCCCCUCCCGGCAUUAUGUUGUAUUAGGCGGGAUUUCUCCCGGUUAUCCAUCUGUCACGGCCAGGUUGCAUACGUGUUACUCACCCGUGCGCCGGUCGCCCGGCGG
rnacentral:rRNA from 1 species